GAGUUUGAUCAUGGCUCAGGAUGAACGCUGGCGGCGCGCCUAAUACAUGCAAGUCGAGCGAACGGACGAGAAGCUUGCUUCUCUGAUGUUAGCGGCGGACGGGUGAGUAACACGUGGAUAACCUACCUAUAAGACUGGGAUAACUUCGGGAAACCGGAGCUAAUACCGGAUGAUAUUUUGAACCGCAUGGUUCAAAAGUGAAAGACGGUCUUGCUGUCACUUAUAGAUGGAUCCGCGCUGCAUUAGCUAGUUGGUAAGGUAACGGCUUACCAAGGCAACGAUGCAUAGCCGACCUGAGAGGGUGAUCGGCCACACUGGAACUGAGACACGGUCCAGACUCCUACGGGAGGCAGCAGUAGGGAAUCUUCCGCAAUGGGCGAAAGCCUGACGGAGCAACGCCGCGUGAGUGAUGAAGGUCUUCGGAUCGUAAAACUCUGUUAUUAGGGAAGAACAUAUGUGUAAGUAACUGUGCACAUCUUGACGGUACCUAAUCAGAAAGCCACGGCUAAC
rnacentral:rRNA from 1 species